rnacentral:lncRNA from 1 species
UGUCGCUUUAUUUGAGACGCAAACUAGUGGAAAAGACUCGUAUUCUUGUCCCCUUGCUUACGCUAGUUAACACAUGCUCUUUGCUCUGAAUACAUCUCAUUUUCCAAUGCCAAAUUCAACUCGACCUUGCUUGCCAAAAGCUUUAAGAUAUUUUCAUCAUUCCUGUCCCCUAGAUUUAACUCCUCUACUCUUUUACUCAAGCAUCUCCUACUUUCGCCCUUAUUUCUUUUAACCUAUCCACCCAUUCCGUCAAGCCACAACCUAGCAAUUCAAGACGUUGAGGCACUGUUCCUCUGCUAAGCUCCCAAAGUUGACAAACCUCCAUCUCACAAGUAACUUCCAACAUCCAAGAAGCCUUGAACCGAAACCUAAGCUUUUGACAACAUCACUUAAAAUUUAUUUUUUCAAUAAAUAGUAUAUUUUUAGUGAAGCACACCUUAAAAUUUCCCUUACUACAUAACAUUAAAGACAAUAUUAUUUUAAUUA